rnacentral:tRNA from 1 species
GGGCGCGUAGCUCAGCUGGAAGAGCAUCGCCCUUACAAGGCGAGGGUCACAGGUUCGAGCCCUGUCGCGCCCACCA